AGGUAAGCUACUAAGAGCGAAUGGUGGAUGCCUUGACUGGUAAAGGCGAUGAAGGACGUACUAGACUGCGAUAAGCUACGGGGAGCUGUCAAGAAGCUUUGAUCCGUAGAUUUCCGAAUGGGGCAACCCAAUGUAUAGAGAUAUACAUUACCUAUAUAGGAGCGAACGAGGGGAAUUGAAACAUCUUAGUACCCUCAGGAAAAGAAAUCAAUAGAGAUUGCGUCAGUAGCGGCGAGCGAAAGCGCAAGAGGGCAAACCCAGUGCUUGCACUGGGGGUUGUAGGACUGCAAUGUGCAAGAGGUGAGUUUAGCAGAACAUUCUGGAAAGUAUAGCCAUAGAGGGUGAUAGUCCCGUAUGCGAAAAACAAACCUUAGCUAGCAGUAUCCUGAGUAGGGCGGGACACGAGAAAUCCUGUCUGAAGCUGGGUCGACCACGAUCCAACCCUAAAUACUAAUACCAGAUCGAUAGUGCACAAGUACCGUGAGGGAAAGGUGAAAAGAACUGAGGUGAUCAGAGUGAAAUAGAACCUGAAACCAUUUGCUUACAAUCAUUCAGAGCCCUAUGUAGCAAUACAGGGUGAUGGACUGCCUUUUGCAUAAUGAGCCUGCGAGUUGUGGUGUCUGGCAAGGUUAAGCAAACGCGAAGCCGUAGCGAAAGCGAGUCUGAAUAGGGCGCUUAGUCAGAUGCUGCAGACCCGAAACGAAGUGAUCUAUCCAUGAGCAAGUUGAAGCUAGUGUAAGAACUAGUGGAGGACUGAACCCAUAGGCGUUGAAAAGCCCCGGGAUGACUUGUGGAUAGGGGUGAAAGGCCAAUCAAACUUCGUGAUAGCUGGUUCUCUCCGAAAUAUAUUUAGGUAUAGCGUUGUGUCGUAAUAUAAGGGGGUAGAGCACUGAAUGGGCUAGGGCAUACACCAAUGUACCAAACCCUAUCAAACUCCGAAUACCUUAUAUGUAAUCACAGCAGUCAGGCGGCGAGUGAUAAAAUCCGUCGUCAAGAGGGAAACAACCCAGACUACCAGCUAAGGUCCCUAAAUCUUACUUAAGUGGAAAACGAUGUGAAGUUACUUAAACAACCAGGAGGUUGGCUUAGAAGCAGCCAUCCUUUAAAGAAAGCGUAAUAGCUCACUGGUCUAGUGAUUUUGCGCGGAAAAUAUAACGGGGCUAAAGUAAGUACCGAAGCUGUAGACUUAGUUUACUAAGUGGUAGGAGAGCGUUCUAUUUGCGUCGAAGGUAUACCGGUAAGGAGUGCUGGAGCGAAUAGAAGUGAGCAUGCAGGCAUGAGUAGCGAUAAUUAAUGUGAGAAUCAUUAACGCCGUAAACCCAAGGUUUCCUACGCGAUGCUCGUCAUCGUAGGGUUAGUCGGGUCCUAAGUCGAGUCCGAAAGGGGUAGACGAUGGCAAAUUGGUUAAUAUUCCAAUACCAACAUUAGUGUGCGAUGGAAGGACGCUUAGGGCUAAGGGGGCUAGCGGAUGGAAGUGCUAGUCUAAGGUCGUAGGAGGUUAUACAGGCAAAUCCGUAUAACAAUACUCCGAGAACUGAAAGGCUUUUUGAAGUCUUCGGAUGGAUAGAAGAACCCCUGAUGCCAUCGAGCCAAGAAAAGUUUCUAAGUUUAGCUAAUGUUGCCCGUACCGUAAACCGACACAGGUGGGUGGGAUGAGUAUUCUAAGGCGCGUGGAAGAACUCUCUUUAAGGAACUCUGCAAAAUAGCACCGUAUCUUCGGUAUAAGGUGUGGUUCGCUUCGUAUUAGGAUUUACUCCGAAAGCGAAGAAACUUACAACAAAGAGUCCCUCCCGACUGUUUACCAAAAACACAGCACUCUGCUAACUCGUAAGAGGAUGUAUAGGGUGUGACGCCUGCCCGGUGCUCGAAGGUUAAUUGAUGGGGUUAGCAUUAGCGAAGCUCUUGAUCGAAGCCCGAGUAAACGGCGGCCGUAACUAUAACGGUCCUAAGGUAGCGAAAUUCCUUGUCGGUUAAAUACCGACCUGCAUGAAUGGCGUAACGAGAUGGGAGCUGUCUCAAAGAGGGAUCCAGUGAAAUUGUAGUGGAGGUGAAAAUUCCUCCUACCCGCGGCAAGACGGAA
rnacentral:rRNA from 1 species